UACAGAGGGUGCGAGCGUUAAUCGGAAUUACUGGGCGUAAAGCGCGCGUAGGCGGCUUUGCAAGUCGGGUGUGAAAUCCCCAGGCUUAACCUGGGAACUGCAUUCGAGACUGCAUUGCUAGAGUAUGGGAGAGGGAAGUGGAAUUUCCGGUGUAGCGGUGAAAUGCGUAGAUAUCGGAAGGAACACCGGUGGUGUAGACGGCUUUCUGGACCGUAACUGACGCUGAGACACGAAAAGCGUGGGUAGCAAACAGG
rnacentral:rRNA from 1 species